AGUGAACGCUGGCGGUAGGCCUAACACAUGCAAGUCGAACGGCAGCACAGUAAGAGCUUGCUCUUACGGGUGGCGAGUGGCGGACGGGUGAGGAAUACAUCGGAAUCUACUUUUUCGUGGGGGAUAACGUAGGGAAACUUACGCUAAUACCGCAUACGACCUACGGGUGAAAGCAGGGGAACUUCGGACCUUGCGCGAUUGAAUGAGCCGAUGUCGGAUUAGCUAGUUGGCGGGGUAAAGGCCCAGCAAGGCGACGAUCCGUAGCUGGUCUGAGAGGAGGAUCGGCCACACUGGAACUGAGACACGGUCCAGACUCCUACGGGAGGCAGCAGUGGGGAAUAUUGGACAAUGGGCGCAAGCCUGAUCCAGCCAUACCGCGUGUGUGAAGAAGGCCUUCGGGUUGUAAAGCCCUUUUUUUGGGAAAGAAAAGCAGCAGGUUAAUACCCCGCUGUUCUGACGGUACCCAAUGAAUAAGCACCGGCUAACUUCGUG
rnacentral:rRNA from 1 species